rnacentral:rRNA from 1 species
UACGGAGGGUGCAAACGUUGCUCGGAAUCAUUUGGGCGUAAAGCGCACGUAGGCGGUCCGUUAUGUCGGGGUGUGAAAGCCCCUCGGCUUAACCGAGGAAGUGCAUUCGAAAACUGGCGGACUGGAGUACCGGGAGAGGGGUCGCGGAAUUCCCGGUGUAGAGGUGAAAAUACGUAGAGAUUGGGAAGAACACCAGUGGCGAAGGCGGCUAUCUGGACGGUUUCUGACACUAAGACUCGAAAGCGUGGGGGAGCAAACAGGG